AGAAAAUUCUGCAUCUACAUGCUAUGUGGGUUAAUAUAUGGGCUUCUUGAAAAUUAAGUUCUCUCUACUGUGGAACAUGAGAGACAGAUUGGAUCAACAGCGCUGCACAAUCACUUAGGGAAUCAUAGAAUUGUUUGGCUGGAAAAGGCCUUUGAGAUCAUUGAGUCCAACUGUACCUGUCCACUACUAAACCACAUCCCUGAGCACCUUGUCUACCCAUUUUUUAAAUACAUUCAGGGAUGGUAACUCAGUAAAGAAUUUUUUUCUAAUCUGAACUUCCCCAGUCACAGCUUGUGGCCAUUCCCUCUUGUCCUAUCGCCUGUCACUUGGGAGAAAAGACCAGUACCCACCUCACUACAACCUCCUUUCAGGCAGUUGUAGACAGUGAUAGGGUCUCCCCUCACCUUCCUUUUUUCUAGGCUAAAACUAUCCCAAUUUCCUCAGCCAAUCCUCAUAAGGCUUAUGCUCCAGCCCCUUCACCAGGUUAUUGGAAGAGAACAGUAGUAAUUACAAAGUUCCCUGAAGAAGAUUUCACAAAAGGUGUGUAGUUUAGAACAAGGCAAUUACCUCUGUGAGCUGGCAUUUAUCCAGCUGGAAUUUGGAAGGACUUUUAAUCAAACAGAAAAGAUUAGAAUCUGUUUUUCCAUCAUCUUGUUCCAACAUAAAGUUCAAACAACAAUGAAAUUCAGAUUUAGGUAUGGAAACUGUUCUUUUAAAUUGCUCUCCUUCGUAUGCCUUACUGCUUUGUCUGUAUGACAGGAACUUUUGGUUGAGGAACACUGAGUUACAGGCAAUCUGGCCUUACAUAGAGUGGCAGUGGUCCUACAAGCCUUGCAGGAACUAGGGUCAAGCUUCUCCAGAACUCACCUCUUGCAACAUUAAUAGCUUCCUCUUCUGCUACUGUUUAUGUCAAUGCCUCUCUUAUUAUAGGGACAAGCUGUGUGAAAAGGGGUCAGAUGACUCCCCAUCAUUCGCUUGGGCAAAUCAUGGAACAUGAUAGACUAUUAAACCCCUUCUUAGGCUCAGAAGUCUUCAAGUCCUUCAGAGCUUGGUAGAUGGAUGUUUGGAAACGCCCAUGGAGAACAGCAUGGAAAUAUUCCAGAGGAGGAGCUUGACUGGAUAUUAUGGAACAUCCAAGUCAUUUUUGUGGAGUUUUCAGAAUACAGCAUCUAUUAUUUUCUGGUCUUUUCUUUUCUUUCCUUGUGCUUAUGAGCUUUUCCCUCUUCCCAGUGUGUGCAAGAGUGGGGGGAAAAAAGUAUUAGUUUGGAAAUCCAACAUGUUAAGAAGUCCAAUGCUAGUGCAGGGAAGUCAAUCACCAUGUAGCUUUCCAGCUCCUUCAGGCAGUGCAGACAGAGCAACAGAGACAGUAUUUAAAGCAAGAUGAAUACACUUUGAAACAAUUCCCAGGUGAGUAUGGCACACAUUCUCUGCGGCAUGCUCAUUCCACAGAUCGCUUCACUAGUCAAGAGCAUAUCAAACACUUUUACAAAAAGUGUUUGGGAUUAGGUUUUAAGAAAGGUUUUUAUCCAGCCAGUUACAUGUCACAAAUAUCAGCAAGGGCUCCAUUAAUGUCUUCUGAAGACAUGAAUGUGGCAGAUAUUUAUAGGUCUCGGAUUGUCCUCCUUGCCUGUGCCGUUGUGCAGGCAAUUGAAGGCUGUAUGUGUGGAAUUCCUCUCCUUAGACUUCACAAGACCACUGAAAGCAAAUGCCAACUAAAAACUUUCUCUAAAAAGCUUUUACCCACCAGUCGGUCUACGACCCUACACAUUUAGCAGCAAGAUGAGAAUCACAGUAGCUCCUUAUAAAGUGAUGGCUGCAUAGGGGCCAGAAGAAAGCACAGCUCCUAGGGAAAGCUCUCUGGCCACUUCACUUGGCUCCUUCAACCUCUAACUUUCAAGGCAAGGUUUAACUAACCCUUUUUCAUAAAGACAGUGGAAAGGAAUCAAAAUAAAAGCUGUGUGCCUACCAUGUUUAAGCCAUUCAUAAAUGAGACAUAGGGGAAUUAUCUGCAUCCAACCAUCUUUAAAGUUUACGUGUGACACAGCACUGGUGACUUAUGUUUGUACCAUAACUGAGGUCCCAGCUGACAGCUAGCAGGUAUGUUAAAUUCCCAAAAGCAGAGUUGCUUCCUGAUUUAGGAUCAAAAGACCCAAUCCAUUAGUAAAGAAUUCCUUCAUUUGGACCUGAUGAGAUUGCAUCCCAGAGUCCUGUGGGGAUUAGCUGAUGUGGUUCUCCAAGCCAGUCUCCAUGAUAUUUAUAAAGUCAUGGUAGUCAGAAGUCCCUGGUGAUUAGAAGAGUAAUAUUGUCCCCAUUUUUAAAGAGGGUAGAAAAGAUGACCCUGGGAACCACCAACCUGUCAGCCUCACCUCUGAGCCUGGGAAGAUCAUAGAGCCUCCUAGAAGCUAUGCUAAAUCACAUGGAGAUGGGAGAGGUGAUUAGUGGGAGCCAGCAUGGCUUCAUCAAGGGGAAGUCCUGUCUUAUCAACUUAGUAGCUUUCUAUAAUGGGAAAACCACAUCAGUGGACAUAGGAAAAGCAAUGGAUGUAAUCUAUAUGGACUUCCGUAAAGCCUUUGACAUGGUCCUCCACAACAUGCUUCUCUCAAAAUUGGAGAGAUAUGGAUUUGAUGGGUGGACUCUAUGGUGAAUAAGAACUUGGUUGGAUGGUCAUAUUCAGAAAGUAGUGGUCAACGGCUCGAUGUCCAGAUGGAAAUCCAUGACAAGUUGUAUCUCUCAGGGGUCCAUACUGGGCCCAGUGCUGUUUAAUAUCUUCAUCAAUGAUACUGACAGCAAGAUUGAGUGCACUCUCAGCAAGUUUGCAGAUGACACCAAGCUGAGUGGUGUAGUUGCCACACUGGAAGGAUGGGAUGUCAUCCAAAGGGACCUGGGCAGGCUGGAGAAGUGGGCCUGUGAGAACCUCAUGAGGUUCAACAAGGCCAAGUGCAAGGUCCUACACCUGGAUCAGGGCAAACCACGCUUUCAAUACAGUAUGACGGAUGUUGUGAUUGAGAGCUGCCCUGCGGAGAAGGACUUGGGGGUGCUGAUUGAUGAGAAGCUUGACGUGAGCUGGCAAUGUGUGCUCACAGCACAGAAGGCUGCAUCUUGGUAUCAGUAUCUCGGGCUGCGUCAAAAAAGUGUGGCCAGCAGGUUGAGGUCCCUUCCAACUCAAACCAUUCUAUGGUUCUAUGAUUCAUAUACCACUCAGGACUCUUAAUUCUUCUGUACACAUCUGCACUCAUCAACAUACAUUAGCAGAGCACGCCUAAAUCCCUUCUUCGUUUUGAGCCAUAUAAGACCUAACUCUUCCUUCUGAAACUGAGCAAACUUGAAAGGCUUGGCAGCAUUUCAGUAGAGAUCCAAGGUUACAGUUUCACAUCUCUUGUGAUAAUCUGGAAAGAGCAGGUAUAGGCUUUUUGUCAUUUUUCAUAGCAAUUCCACUUCUCAAGGCCACUCUCUGUCCUUCUCCCCCUUCCUGUAGGGCUUUGAGGAAGUACAGAUCUCCAUCCAACCUGUACAGUGGGAGAGGGAAGAAAAGUGCUUACUCUGACAGCUCAAAGCCCAGGUGAUCACAGAAACAUGCUCUGGAUCACUGGUGGCAUUCAGUGAGCUGACCAGAGACAUCAUCCCAGCUCCUCCAUGCAGACCUGAUGCCAAACAGAGCAUGGUCAUGGGUUACACACUCAGAAAUUCUUUUUCCUUUAUGGUCCAGAAGCUCAGCUUUACAGAGAAAAGUACAAGUCUUAUUUUUAAGCAAAAGAGUUUUGACAGCAUGAAUUAAAAGAUAAACAAGCACUUUAGUCAGCAGUCAACGUGACAAACACAAUAACCUGGCAGCAGCAUUGCACUUCCUUCUUCACUUUGUACAUACCCAGUACAGCUUGCAGUGCACCAAAUAUCUUUGUUAGAAAGACGGCUGUAAAGUCAGGCAACUACAGGAGUGACACCAAUCAAGAAAGCAGUCAAUAGAUACAUCAGGAAACAAAAAAGCAAAAUAAAAGGAAAAACUGGGCAAGAAGCCAGUGUUGAUCAACACAACUACCUGGCAGAUUUUAAUUGUAAACUCCUGAUCUCAAUACAUAAAGAACAUACAUAUACACAGUUUCAGAAACAUUGCAUACCUCUUUUUUUAAAAUCCCUAAACACUUUGGAUGAAUGGUGUUUUUAAAGAAAUUACUCCUGGACAUGAACAAGCCCUCUGUAUCAGAGAUGGGCACACCAACCAACCAACUCUCUGUGACAAGUUUUACUAGCUUCGUGUGUAUAUUCAGUUUCAUACACAGAGAUAAAUGCACACAUUUGGAAUACAAGAGCACAGAAUUCCGUAAGGUGAUAAAUCAGAAAUUCUCCUACCAAUAAAUUACAUAUCAUUCUGAGUCCUUCAAUUACUUCUGCUGAAUAACAGUCACUGAAGACUAAGCCUGUGCAUUUUUGUUGUUUCCUGAUCUGAACACAGAACAAAAACAGGAUCAUAAUUUACUACAGAAGACAAUGAAAAAUCUUAUAAUUGUAAAUAUAUGUAGCAAGAUAAUAUAAAUCUUGUUCCUUGGUAUUUCCCCUCCACCCUCUGCCACUACCACCACCCCUUCCAGCUUUGGGGCCUCUCUCCUGCUUGCAUGGAAGAUUUGACAUCCAUCUUAAAGCCACAAAUUACUCACAAACAGCUAUUGAAAGUAGCAAUGACCAUAGGAUAACACUUCCACAAAGCAAGAGAGCUUCCUGGCAAGCUGAUAAGAGUUUCCUGUUUUGAGUUUUAGGCUGAGUUUCUUAUUUCCCUCAUAAAAAUUUACUCUCUCAAACAUCUUGCAAAAGGAAGGCUCAACAGGCAAUUUUUCAAUUACCCUCCUCCAAACAUGUUGUGUUCAAAGUAUGUUCUGUUUUGCUGAAUGUGAAAUGGGGAGCAGGUCCAAGAAAUCUGAGCACAUCAGCUGAGGUAGCAGGUGAGAGGAGUAUGUUAAGUCCAUCACCAUUUAGGGAUGAUGGAUCUGCUUCAAUGUGUGCAUCAUUGUAACUUGCACUCUCUCCUCUCAGCCUCUGCAUUUUGUGCUGCCUGUAGCAACACCUUCCAUUUCUAGUGCAGGCAAAAAAAUGCUUAAGUCUCCAGGGACAUGAAUUCUGCAUUUAGCUAUUACCAUUGGAGGUGGCAUGACCAUCUGGGUUCAUAUGCACACUUCAGAAUAGCCACCAGAUGGGUGGCUAUUUCUGCUUACUACCAACCUGCUCUGUUUACAUGGAGGAGUCUCAGAUACAGGUUUCCACGCAAAAUCCCAAAGUCACCAGUGAACACUCCUGCACAGAUAGCCCCAUGUUCACAGAAGACCAGAGAUCUCAAUGGGUUUCCCAUGUGAAACCUCCUUUCUAUCACCUCCUGUUCCUGAAUACCAGGUACUAUACUUGAGCCAAAUAGGCUGUAUCAGAGAAAUGAAUAGUUCUCCGUGCCUCUUCUCUGUAAGUGCUACUCUGCCCAAGGGGCUUUUGCUGGAGGAUUCACAAUCCUAGCCUAGGCUUUCACAUGCACUUCUGACCUCGCUUGACCUUCUAGCUUCUCUUCUUCAGAGAAAAAGAAGAAUAAUUGCACACCCUAGAUACAACAUCAAGUAUGAAUAUGUGAUAUCCUGCAGGAGCACAAGAUUCCCACAAAGGAUUUUAGCAUCUAAUCCCCAAAUCACCUCUCAUUAAAAGAGGAAUGGCCAGCUAUAAAUUCAGUAAAUAUCAGAAAAUGAAGGACAAAAUAAUUAAAAUGCGUGGUUUGUCCUCUGGCACGUAGUCCCUGCCCCUGGAAAAGGCAAAGGCAUGGGUAGAGCCCUCAGCUUCUCUGGCACAAGAGCAGCCUGGACAAUUGUGCUAGUGAUUUCAAGAGGACAAAACAGCAAGGCAAUGUUUUGUAAAGCAAAACCUUUUAUGCAUAAGCAAGAUAAUUUUAAAGGGUGAACUUCAAAAUAAAUUGCACCCCACACAACAGCCUUCUGACUAGCACUUUUCCCAAAUCAAACUAGACACCAUUUCACAUCAUUUCUCCUUUAAGCCAAAUUUCAACACUUUGUCUUAGAGUAAACAACAGAAGUGAGACGUACUUACAUAACGUAGCACAGAUCACAGACUUGCAUUUUUGUGGGUUUUCAGAUGUUCGUUUGUCACUGCAUAUGAACCACAUGCAGUCUUUCAAACAUGGAGUUGCUCAACACAAUUUAAUUUCUUGCCCACACUAACUAGCCAGGCUGACAUAGGCUCUUCCCGCAUACUUGCUUCAGUGUACAAGAAGGCAGACAAAGCAAAUGAUGUAUUUAGCUGACCAGGCCAACCACACACAGGACAACAACGGAUGCUGCAACCCUACCAUCUCCCCAAACCAAAAAGCCAUCUUCUAAAAAAAUCAGUAUGGCUGAAACAGCAUCCAGGAUGCUCGCUUCUGCCCUAAGCAUUCAGGAAUAUCCAAAACCAGCACCAAAUGCUUUUUCAUCAUUCACACACAAACACACACUGCCCUUCCUCACCUUUUCUACCUGUUCCCAUGGCACAACUCUCAAUAAUAAAGGCAGUGGAAGCGGCAGCAGCAGCCCAGGGCUGCCAUUCAGUCCCCAGCCUUUCAAACUCACAUGUAAUUGCAUUAAGUAGGAGAUCAGCUCAAGUGAAAGAAAUUAUGCUCUCAAAUUCCUGUUCACUUGGCAUGUCAAACCUCUGCUAAGCAUUUGCAGGGGUAUGGCUAACUUGGGCUGGCCCAAUCAAUGUUUCUGGGCUUCCCUCUCUUGAUGAAGGCUGUAAAUGCUCUCAAGCACUUCUUCGGAACAAACAACCUUUCAAAGUGUGCUUUACAGUCAAAGGCUCAGAGCAAAGCUUUGCUGCAGAAGGUCAAUGCACACUUUUUCUUUAUUUCAUCUGAGAACAGGCAAAUUAGAGGAGUUAUUGGGUAAAUGUUGUGUAGGGUCAGCCUAGGAAGAGCUCGCGGUAACCCCAGGGCAAGCAAGGGCUGAGACCUGCCUCAGGCUCAGCACAUUUGCUCUGUUGCUCCUGUGGAACUUCAAAAGAGUCAACAUUCACAUGCAGUUUCUUAUCUUUGACUGCCAUCUUUCAGAGACUUGCUGCUUUUCUGGGCGGCAUCAAUGUUGACAGACUGUGCUCCCAUGUUACUUGUCCUCUGAGCCUUAAAACUCCCACUGUUGCCACUAUAGCAAGCUAUAGGUAUUCUGCUACAUCUGUAACUCCCAAGGAACUGGUUGUAGCUCCCUGUGGGUUUUGACCCAGCUUAAAACCCUGUGGUGCAAAGAGCCCCAAGUGAGCUCCAAAGCUCUACUGCUUUCCAUUUACAGUUGAAAGGGACUUUUCCCAGGUGGGAGCUAUACAUACACAUAUUAUGGCUAUACAUACACACACAGAGAAAUGUCAGUGCAGUCUGGAGAUGUCUACCUUGUGCAGUUGUUUUAUCUUUUGAGUUUUAUGGCUACAUAUUUAUUGCUUUUUGCAAGCAAAAGGUUCAAGGUCCAAGCCCCACAGAGCUGAAGAAGAUAAGCCUGAAAAUAGCUGCCUGACAGAAUUACUGACAACGUGCCAUUAGGACCGUCUUUGUGAUCAACAGUCCCUGUGGGACUUUCUCCAGUGCCAGCCUGCCCACAGAGCUGGUAAAUCUGGAAAAACUCUGAGGAAAGCCCUGAGAGCAGAUGGAAGUGUUUAAAAGAUGUAUAAAAAUGGUGCUUAGGGUCAUAGUCUAUUAGUAGACUUGGCAGUGUUAGGUUUGCAGUUGAACUUGAUGAUCUUAAGGGUCUUUUCCAAUGUAAAUGAUUCUAGAAUCCAUCUAGCAGAGCCCUGAGUUGCCAAAGAACAAAAACACAGCUGCAACUGGUUGUAUUUCUUGUACAAAUCACACUGGUAAUGAAAAUACACAGCCACAGCACUGUUUUGGCACCUGUAUUUCAGUAUUGAACUGCAGGAAAGGAGGAGAUUUGGGGACUGUGGCUCAGGGCUUGUUUUAUUAAUACAAAUCCACCAGAACGUUGCAAGAUGAUGCUCAAAAUCCAAACCAGACGUGCUGGUCCAUCCCUCGCAAGUGGCAAGAGAGUCACUUGAGCAGGACAGACCCUCAAGAUGCGUAAGUGCAUCAUGUCUGACAUGGACAACUGGAUGCAGAAAUGCUUGGUCAGAGAAAGCCUUGGGCUGAGCAUAGCACAGGGCAGCUCACCGGGCAGUCAGAAACCAAACUCCAUGGCUCAGAAAACUGUCAAGAAGCCACAUGAAGAAGCCUUGAAAGAGCCUCUCCUUGCUUGCCCAGGACACAAGGCUUGGUCACAGCAAGUGAUACAAGGUGGUUAAUUUAAGCCAUUCUCAUAGAGCUCACUGCAAGGAAAAAAGCAAUGCAGCAGAGCAAAUCCCACCAAGAGCAGACAUUGGUAGUAGGCUCCUUCUUGGUGUUCACCAGAAGUUUCUCAAUCAGGCGAGCAGCAAGAACCCUCUAACAGAGGAGAAGCUCAAGGUUUAAUUUUAGUCUGCAACCCAGUGCAUAUCUCUCUCUUUUAUUUUUAAUCUGCACUUCAUGUAAAAAUAGAAUUUCCUGCCACCUGAUAAGGGAUUCCUGUUUUUGUGGUAGGUCUGCCUUCUUGGAAAGCUGGUGCCUAUGGGUUAUUGAUGGGUGCUUCACAGCAUAGUAGGCUGGCCAAGGGAAUAGGACAAACGGUUUUGGGGAUUUACAUUGUUCCUGCUCGCCUUAGGGAGAAAAAAAACUAAAGCAGUUUUCCUCCGUCAACAAAUCACCACCAAAUUUAGCAUUUCCAGAACCCUGGUUUGGAAAAUUCUCUGUUUGCCUGAAUAUUUGCAGUAGCUGUGUUAAAUUUGCAUCCUUCCCAAGUAGAUGUUUGUGAAAAACAAGAGUGCUUAAAGGUGUAUCCUACCUUUUAAGCCUGCUCAUCAACCAGCAGAUAAAUAAAACCACACAAGAACAGCCAUUUCUCCCACCCUUUCUGCUCCUUUAAAACAUGGAACUGACAUGACCUGACACAAGUACCCACGCUCCCCAAUAUAUGUCCUGAUGCAGUACAUAUGGGCCUGCCCCAGGAGGUUGCUCCACGUAUUUGCCUGCACUUUGUAGAACACAGGAGUAACGCGUUUUCAGGGUAGGCUGUUUCAAGCCUGAAUGCCAAUGAUUUCAAUACUCCUGUAAUGCAAAAACAUUGUUUUUCUUAGAUGUGUCUGCUCCAGGCAGGUAUUCACACCCCAAAAUCUUAUUUGAAAGCCAAGGUUACAAGUGUUAUUUAUGAAAGAAAACUGCUGGCAAGGGCUUUGCCACCUGCCAGUUCCUUGCUCUUCUUGCCUGCUUUUCUCUGUGACCAGGGAAGAACUCCUCAAGUACUAAAGUGAGAUGCAGCAAGAGCAACAUCAAGAGGAAUUCACACAUUUCCUGAGUCUCAGGCAGGAGUUUCCCUCAACCUCCUUAUUUCUCCUGUGGAGAUGUGGAUGUAAAAGACGUGGUAUUCAGGACUGAAUGUAGCUUCCACUGCAGCCCAUUCCCAAGACAUCCUUUGUUUUUGCAGUGGGAGGUCGGGAGGAGUGGAGUGUGUCAGAAAUGUGCAGACAAGGUUUUCCUCCUUCUCACAUUCUCUUGAACCUGAUGGACCAUUCUUGGGGACUCCGCCUCAGGUGUGUAAUGGCUCAGAAAGUCAAUAUAGACAAGAACAGCAUGAAAAAUAACCGUUUAGGUGAACCUGAGAAAUACCACUGAUGCUACUCUCAGGCUAGGAAGACCAAGGGGGACAAGGAGGCAAAAAGUGACUUCAGCUCACUGCUGCUGGGGAAGCUCAAGCCUUCAAAGGGGAAGGACAUAUCCUGCAACUGUGAGAAGCUUCAUGCUGACUUCUCCAUGAAACGGUGAAACAAAGACACAGAGGUCUGACCCCAAGACACUAAUAUCUAACCCCAGUUCCCAAACUCUUUGCCAUGGAGCCUGCAGUGUUUUUGCAUGUAUGCAUGUCUUAAUUUUCUUUCUAAAAACAAUUGAUCCCAGUACAAAAAUUACACUAUUUGACUUAAAUAAGACCAGGGGAAUGGAAAUGUUGCAAUACAAUAGAGCCACUAUUGCAUCACUUUUAUUAACUAAAAGAAAAUAAAAAUGUAAGCCUUCUAACAAGAUGUUAAUAGCUGUUCCUUCUGUUCCAGUGCUCACACUCAGUGCCACCUCUCCAUCAGUCAUCUUCUUUGCCUCCUUCUUCAUCUUCAUUGUGAGAAUCAGUUGAAGAUGCUCAAACAGAGUGCAGUGACUGGUUGGGGUCACAAGCUCUCUGAGGCAAACCUGCUGCAAGGUCUUAGAAACAUGAUGCUGCGAUGAUAAGAUGCUUCCCUUGUCUCCAGUCUGUUUGGUGAGACUGAAAUCAAAUGUGCUUCAGCACCAAAAGGGAGAAAAAUGCAAUCUUGCUGAACAGCAUUUUCACAACUGUUUGAGAACAACCACUUGAAGGAGAUCCUAAGACGUUCAAGACCCAUAUCUCCAGCAGCACCACUGUGGCCACCCAAGAAAAGCUUUACAAUCUCUUUGAAUCUGGGGUCCUAGCAGUAGCUUUGACCUCAUAUCAGUGAAGUGAAGUGGUUCCUGAGGAUCCCCCUUUUACUCAUAUCCUAGAGGGAAGAGCAGUCCAAAGAGGAGAAAUAUCUGGAUGAAAUAAAUAAGUGUCUGCCUGGCUUGUUUGUAAGUGCUUCUGGUCUUCCCAAGGCCCUUGUGGUGCUACUGCAUCUUGGAAGUCAGAGGAAGUAGGAGGAAGGCCAAGAGGAACUUGGAGGUGGUUGCAAUGCAAAGCAAGACCAGGAUCUGCUUAGAGAAAUGUUUAGCAGUCAAAUGACUUGUGCUGUCUGGGUAGCACCAUGAAGCUCUGUGAAGAGCUGCUGGGAUGGAAGUGAUGGCGAUUUGUCCCAUUAGCAUCCUUCCACUGCACACAUAGACCAAAACACACACUAUUUUUUUCCCCCAUGGGAUUCCCAUCUGCUACCACGGAGAGGUGAUGACUGUAAUCCCCUUGGGUGACACACAGCAGAAGUUGCACCGCUUCCUCAGCCUCUCCACCAAGGUUAGAUAUUCAUGCUGCUGUAGGCCCAGCGGAGUUGAUGCAAAGUUUAACAUCUUAUAUAGUAAUUAAGAAAAGCCUCUCAACACAGCACCACUAAUUAUAUGAAUCCUCCCUAAAUUACUAAUAGUUCAUAGCACCUUGUAAAAUCCUCAUGUAAUAGCUUUAGAAAAAAAUGACACUCAGCACUGGCAGUAAACCACAAAGCCCACAUAGCAAUUGCAUAGCAUUUUGGAUGUUUACGAGCCUGUUUAAAAAAAAAAAAAAACAACA